GCGAGAGAGAGAGAGAGAACGAGUCAGAGAAGCAGCUGCACGGAGCGGUAUUCACGAACCCUCCAUAAAAGCUGUUAAUAUAAAGAGAAAAUAGAUUGAUUUGCCUUGGCUGGGUGUUUUUUGUUUCUGUGUUUUUCUACGUGAUCUGCGAGUUUCCUGUUUUGUGCCAUAAUUAUUCCUUUUGGAGUGGAAUCGUCUGUGCAUCGGACGUGACUAAAUGUGCGCAAUGGCGAGCUACCCACGGACCUUUUCCCACUUUGAACUGUGCUUUGAAUUCAUCAACUGGUAGGAGAAUUCCAUUUUUUUCCUUUGUUUUUGGACACAAAAGACUUUUAUUCGUCAAACUCGUUCGAUAUUUUUGCUUCAAAAAAAGGAGAAACUGAUCGAAAGAGUUCAACAACUCUUUGAACUGAAUCACUUGAUUCAUGAACUUUGAUCAACUGAGUCGUUUGAUUCAUGAACUUUGUUUGAACGAAUCAAUUAAUGGAUUUGUGAAUUUUCAACUCUGAUUGUUGAUAUACAGUUGAUUUUGAAAGGGAAAGUGAAUUGUUUAGAGCAAUUCUGAAUCAUUCAGUGCUUUGAGUCAAACUGAAGGUCUAAUUAUAUUUCUUUUGGGUUACUGAAUAAUAUUUUGUUGAAGGUUAUAUUAUUGUAAAAAUAUCUUGCUCAAAGUCAAAGAAGCACACAUUUCUGUUUUAUUAUUUUCUUUAUUUGUGCAUUUUGUGAAGAGUGUGAAACAUCAAGUUGAAUUGGAGCUGUCAAACUGUGAAUUCUUGGUCCUAUAAGAAACAACAGAAGAGUUGGUUAACUGUUUUGAUUCACAUUGUUACCAAUUAAUUGUUCAUAUCUGUGAUUUAUCCAAUUGAAACCAACUACUAAAAGAAACUUUUCUAUAUUAAUACAAUUCAUUGAACCAAA